rnacentral:rRNA from 1 species
AGGGUGUAAACGCUGCAGACUUGGUGUUGGGAACCCUUCGGGGUGCUCAGUGCCGGAGAGAAGUUGUUAAGUCUGCUACUUGGGGAGUACGUCCGCAAGGAUGAAACUUAAAGGAAUUGGCGGGGGAGCACCGCAACGGGAGGAGCGUGCGGUUUAAUUGGACUCAACGCCGGGAAGCUCACCGGAUAAGACAGCGGAAUGAUUGCCGGGCUGAAGACUCUGCAUGACUAGCUGAGAGGUGGUGCAUGGCGUAGACGUCU